CCUUGCUGCCACUCACCCGGCCGUGACCCCGCAGGUCCUGGACUAAUGCCAGAGUUGACCAUAAUGGUGGCCACCGUGCUGAUGGUGCUGGGACUUGGCUUCUUUCUCGCCGGCGUCUACCGCUUCAGGGCCAGGCCUCCCGCCCCAGGUUACACUCCCCUCCCUGGAGACAACUACCCCGCAGGCAGCAUCUGAGGACCCCCAGUCAGACACCUCCUGGCACCGGUGGCUCCCGGUUGGCCCCAUCUCAGACCCGAUGCUGUGGUGCUGACAAUAAAGAUGCUCCACAAGCCCUGCUGGUGUCUCUGCAGUGUUCUGGGGACAGGGCAGAGGCUCACACACUCCUACGGUGUCUCACCAAGAGGAGCGGGUGUGUGGGGGCCAUGGCAUGGGACCCCAAAGGGCCAAGCGUGGCCUGGGGUGCCU